GACGAACGCUGGCGGCGUGCUUAACACAUGCAAGUCGAACGCUGAAGCUCAGCUUUUGUUGGGUGGAUGAGUGGCGAACGGGUGAGUAACACGUGAGUAACCUGCCUCCUUCUUUGGGAUAACGCCCGGAAACGGGUGCUAAUGCUGGAUAUUCACUGGUCUUCGCAUGGGGGUUGGUGGAAAGGGUUUUUCUGGUGGGGGAUGGGCUCGCGGCCUAUCAGCUUGUUGGUGGGGUGAUGGCCUACCAAGGCUUUGACGGGUAGCCGGCCUGAGAGGGUGACCGGUCACAUUGGGACUGAGAUACGGCCCAGACUCCUACGGGAGGCAGCAGUGGGGAAUAUUGCACAAUGGGCGCAAGCCUGAUGCAGCGACGCCGCGUGAGGGAUGGAGGCCUUCGGGUUGUGAACCUCUUUCGCUCAUGGUCAAGCCGCAACAAUGGUUGUGGUGAGGGUAGUGGGUAAAGAAGCGCCGGCUAACUACGUG
rnacentral:rRNA from 1 species